UAAAAAAUAAAUUAAUAAAAAUUAUAAUAAAAAAAAAAUUAUAUAUUUAAUGGGGGUUAAAGUAUAUAAAUAGAAAAAAUUUUUUAAUUUAUAGUAUAUUAGUAUUGUAAAAUAAAUUUUAAAUAAAUUGAAAAUAAAUUUUUUAAAAAGUAAUUUUAAUUUAAUGUAUCUUGUGUAUCAGAGUUUAUUAAAUAAAUUUUUUAUCUAAAAAAUUCUCGAAUUUAAAAGAGUUAAUUAAUUAAAAAAGUUAUUGUAGCAAAAAUAUUUUUUAUAAUUAAUUUGAAAUGAAAUGUUAAUCGUUUUUAAAUAUAUCUAGUUUUUUUAGAAAAAAAUUUAAUUUUAUUUUUAUUUUGUUAAAAAAUUAAUUGAAAUUAAUUUUUUAAAUAAUAAAAUUUUAUAUUUUAAGGGAUAAGCUUUAAUUUAAAAAUUUAUAAUAAAAAUUAAAAUAAAAAAAAUUAGAAUUAAUAUUUUUCAUAAUUUUUAAAUUUUUAUAAAUAAUUUUAUUAAAUUUAAAAUUUUAAUAAAUAUUUAAUUUUAUAUAAAAAAAAAUUUUUUAAUAAAAAAAAAAUAGUUAUAAUGAUAAAAUUAGUAUAUUAAAUAAAAUUAUUUUAUAAAUUUAUUAAAAAUUUAUAAAAAAGAAUUCGGCAAAUUUUUAUAUUCACUUGUUUAUCAAAAACAUGUCUUUUUGAAAAUAAUUUAAAGUCUAAUCUGCCCACUGAUUUUUAUUAAAGGGCUGCAGUAAUUUGACUGUACAAAGGUAGCAUAAUAAUUAGUCUUUUAAUUGAAGACUGGAAUGAAUGAUUGGAUGAGAUAUAAACUGUUUCUUUAUAAUUUAUAGAAUUUAAUUUUUUAAUUAAAAAGUUAAAAUAUAUUUAAAAGACGAGAAGACCCUAUAGAGUUUUAUACAUUUAUUAAAUUAAUAUUAUUUAUAAAAUUUACAUAAAAAUUAAAUAAUGUAUUUUGUUGGGGUGAUAAAAAAAUUAAAUGAACUUUUUUUAAUAAUUAACAUUAAUUUAUGAAUAUAUGAUCCAAAAUUUUUGAUUAUAAGAUUAAAUUACCUUAGGGAUAACAGCGUAAUUUUUUUUUUUAGUUCGAAUAAAAAAAAAAGUUUGCGACCUCGAUGUUGGAUUAAGAUAAAAUUUAAAUGCAAAAGUUUAAAAUUUUGAUCUGUUCGAUCAUUAAAAUCUUACAUGAUCUGAGUUCAAACCGGUGUGAGCCAGGUUGGUUUCUAUCUUUAAAAAAAUAUAAUGUUUUAGUACGAAAGGAUCAAAUAUUAUAAAUAAUUUAAAAUAAAUGAAUAUUAUUAAUAUUUAAUAUAAAAAAUAAAUAAUAUAAUAUUUAAUAUAUUAUGUAUAUAUAUAUAUAUAUAUAUAUAUAU
rnacentral:rRNA from 1 species